CACAAGGCGAGAAGAAAGCCGGCUUUCUUGAGAGGCACCAUCCUGUCCCUUCUGAGGCCAGAUUCAGGCCUCAGAUGCCUGACACUUUGUCCCAGGCUGGGGCUUGGAGUUUCUCUAUGACUCGGGACAAAGGACGUACAGAAGAGAAGGAAAGUACCUUGAGCCCAAGAAGGAGACUCAGGUUCUUGAAAAGUGGCAGUGAGGGUCAGAUGUGCUGAGAUCCUCAGGCCAUUUGACUCGGGAUGGGAAAAGUCACCAUUUGUAACCUUGCUGUCUCUCCAGGAUCACUUUUCUCAGUUUGUUCCAGAAGUUUCUCCUCUGUGACCCAAACUAUGCUCCCGUUUCCCCUCUCUCUACAACUUCCUUUUUCACUUUCCAUGCUAGGAUUUGGGUCUCACGUCAAUCCCUUGGUUCAGAUUCCACACACAUCCCCAUUUGGGCACCGGAUUGCCAGGCAGGAAGACACUGAACUCUAUGGUGGCCAGCGUGACCUGUGUGCAGGUGACACUGACUGCGGCUGCUCCUGCUGAUGUAUCUUGUAUUUGUGGAAGUCUUUUUGUUCUUGAUUCUGCUUAGGGACAGUCCCAGAAUCACUGGGACUCUAAAAAAAGAGAUGAGAAGGGCCCCAGUGACCAGUUACAUCAGGAAAUGAGCUACAAUGUUAGUGGAAAGAAAAGAGCCCUCCUGAAAGUCUCUAGACUAAAAGUGAGAAGAACAUUUCUGGGAUCUUACGGGGGCAGGGAGAGGAGCCAGAGAGAAGCAAGCGAUGACACUGGUGUGUGUAGAUUAAGAGGCUUGCAGCCAUGGUCCCAUUAGAUAAGGUGCAAAUCCAGCAGGAGACCAGAACUAUUGAUUGAGGUUAUCUUCAGUGGAAUAAAAACGCCCUGGAGAUGGCUGAAAUCCAGCCCGUAAUCAACAGGCAUACCGACUAUAAGAUAUUUACAGCAAUCAUCUUCUCUGUGACAGAGAAGAAUUGCAGGGAGAAGUAUAGAGACCCCCCAGACUCCAUUUGUGCAUGGUGCCUCCACACCUUUGCACAGGUAUUCCACCCACCUGCAAGCCCUCCCUUCCUUUACGUGCCUGCUCUUUGCUUCCCACUCUCCACUAAGAUAGCUGGUCCUUCUCUCUGCUCACAGGGUUAGCGUGAGAAUUAAGUGAAUUGAUUUAUGUAAAAUCUUUGGACAGAACCUGGAACCCAACACUCAAAGAUUAUUGUUUUUAUUGUUAUUCUAGCACAGUACCCUUCACCUACCUCUACACGGAUUGGUGGGUUGGUAGUCAUAUGCUUGUCUAUUGCACCCACUUGACGGUGAGUUGUUGGGCAGCAGGAACCAUUCAUUAAGUGUUCUCAUAUCCUAAGAACCUGGGAGAGGGGAGAGUUCAGAGCCUGGUAUAUAGUAAGUGACCAAUAAAUGUUGAAUGAAUAUAUAAAUGAAAAAAUGAACACCUAUGCACUUUUGAGAUGUGUGAUGAGCAAAACACGUGCCUGCUACCAGAGGUGGUCACAUUCCCUUGGGCGUGUGUUCCUUCACCCCUCACCCACUGGUUCAGGCUCUCCGCCAACAGCCCGUGGUCCACGCUCUUAGGGGAGAGUUCAUUUUGCUUUUCUCCAAGGCAGCCAACAUCAACAGCAAUGUGGAGAUGAAAAACAGACCAGGACCAAUGAAAGCUGCUCCUUCUCCAGCUGAGGUUCUAACUGUUUUAAUUCUGCUAAUGAGACCCAGCUAGGAGUAAUCAGGAAACAUCUAAAAUUAGCUGUUUUAAUUUGAGCAAGAGGGAAAGGGACAACUCCGAAGGGGGCACAGUCUCUAGUGGAGAGAGUGGGAUCCCAAGAAACUCCAGAAAAGCCAGAGCAACAUCUGGUGCUUCCACGCCCAAGAGAGUGCCCCGGAUGGACUCGGGAUCUCCAUGACUCAGCACUUACCCACAGAUUAGAACAAUUCACUCGUCAAUUUUCCCAGAAUCCAUUGUGUUUCCAGUUAGCGGCCAUGGCUACAACCUGGAAAAAAUUAGCCGGAGUUUGGUUAUGGGAGACCUUCCUCCAACUCAACUUACCACUUUCUACUGCAUCAUUUUGAUUCUCAUUUGUCACCAGUAAAAGUUAGGCACAUGGUAGGUGCUUCACUGUCUUUGUCAAUUUUGUUGUUUUUUUUUUUUAUAUCUUCUGAAUCCCUAUGAGAAACUUACUGUCUACCAUUUAUUUACUAAUCCAUCAAGCAUUUAUUGAGCACAUGUUAUAAGCUAGAUACUGAGGGAGGGACAAGGGCUUCACACAAAGAGGAAAGAGACACAGUUCUGCCUUAAGAAGCUCAGUCCGCUGGCAGACAAAAUGGAAACAAACAACCGCGCCAUCAUGGGAUAAUCGCUACGUGGAAGUAAGAUACAAGCAACUUGCAGCCAAAGAAUGUCUUCUAAUUAUUGAUCUUCCCAUCUUCACAGAACCUUUCACACAGUGAAUCCGAAUGCCUCUGUCUGGGUUCCCAAACAGACCCCUGCCUGGAGCCUCCUCCCCUCUUCCAGUGUCUGGGGCACUGGAUCAGCCUUCCCCAAACUGGGCGAUUUACAGCUAGAGAAUCGUGACUUCCUCUCUCUCUGCGACCCGCCCCCCUCCCCCAUAAAAAAAGCAGAAAGCAAGUUGGACAUCAAAAGCCUCUUUAAAACCAACAUUUUGAUGACUUAAGAGUAAAUGAAUGAGAACCAUACGGCUUAAAUUUCCUUUAUGAUACACAAGGGCUCUUUCUGGACUCACUUUCCAUCGCUGCCAAGCUAAUGAUGAGAGUGCAAGCGGCCCAAGCCCCACAUCAUCGACAGAUGGCUCCCCAUAUUUGGAAAAUCUUCACGUGGCCGAGGGAGGAAACUGCCAGCCCCCCCAAAUCAGCUAUG